rnacentral:rRNA from 1 species
AUACGGAGGAUGCAAGCGUUAUCCGGAUUUAUUGGGUUUAAAGGGUGCGUAGGCUGUUCGGAAAGUCAGGGGUGAAAGCCCGGCGCCUAACGCCGGAACUGCCUUUGAUACUUUCGAGCUGGAAUACGGAUGCCGUGGGAGGAAUGAGUAGUGUAGCGGUGAAAUGCAUAGAUAUUACUCAGAACACCGAUUGCGAAGGCAUCUCACGAAUCCGUCAUUGACGCUGAGGCACGAAAGCGUGGGGAUCAAACAGGAUUAGAUACCCUGGUAGUCCACGCAGUAAACGAUGAUAACUAACCGUCGGCGAUACACAGUCGGUGGCCAAGCGAAAGCGAUAAGUUAUCCACCUGGGGAGUACGUUCGCAAGGUUGAAACUCAAAUGAAUUGACGGGG